AGUGAACGCUGGCGGUAGGCCUAACACAUGCAAGUCGAACGGCAGCACAGUAAGAGCUUGCUCUUACGGGUGGCGAGUGGCGGACGGGUGAGGAAUACAUCGGAAUCUACUUUUUCGUGGGGGAUAACGUAGGGAAACUUACGCUAAUACCGCAUACGACCUACGGGUGAAAGCAGGGGAUCUUCGGACCUUGCGCGAUUGAAUGAGCCGAUGUCGGAUUAGCUAGUUGGCGGGGUAAAGGCCCACCAAGGCGACGAUCCGUUGCUGGUCUGAGAGGAUGAUCAGCCACACUGGAACUGAGACACGGUCCAGACUCCUACGGGAGGCAGCAGUGGGGAAUAUUGGACAAUGGGCGCAAGCCUGAUCCAGCCAUACCGCGUGGGUGAAGGAGGCCUUCGGGUUGUAAAGCCCUUUUGUUGGGAAAGAAAAGCAGCAGGUUAAUACCCCGCUGUUCUGACGGUACCCAAAGAAUAAGCACCGGCUAACUUCGUG
rnacentral:rRNA from 1 species